UAUCAUUAAGAAAUUAGUAAGCCAUUACAUGAAUAAUAACAGAAAAAUCAUCAGAAAUUAGACCCAAGAAAUUCACUGGCAAAGAUAGUGAGGUAUUCAAGAAAUUAGUAAGCCAUUACAUGAAUAAUAACAGAAAAAUCACCAGAAAUUAGACCCAAGAAAUUCACUGGCAAAGAUAGUUAGGUAUUCAAGGUCAUGAAAUCAAUCAAUUUACUAAAUAAAUUCUGGCAUGCAAAGGGCUUCAGGCAAAUAAUAAGCUAAUCUAAAUACAUCCAUUUUUUCCAAUGAAAAAUACCGAAAAAUUAAUCAUAUUGAAUCCACGACCCAAUUAU